AGCUCAGUGGUAGAGCUCCCGCUUCGCACGCGGGAAGACCUGGGUUCGAUUCCUAG
rfam:Toxocara canis scaffold347, whole genome shotgun sequence.